rnacentral:lncRNA from 1 species
AGCGUUGUUGCCCCGAGUCAGCCCCGGGACCUGGGGGGCGGGGUCUGGAGGCGCGCAACGGGGGGUCUGGCUGCAGCCAGCUCAGCACUGGGCCAGAGGCCUGUCCCCCCGCUCGCCGUCUGCUUAUGGACAAGGAGGACGCACCUCUCUGACUCCCAGCCCCUGGAGCCCCCGGAGGCAGGCGCGCCGGCUCGCUGGGCCUGGGAGAGGCCGGGUCUCCGCGUCCUGGGCGUCCACCGGCGGACCCCUCCCCCCACCCGCCCCGCCCUGCUUGUACGUGAUGCGCGUCUGUGUCCUAGCGUGUGCGGUCUGCCGGGGAGCGUACGUCGUGGGGUCUGUGACCCUCGAAGGAAGCCGUCCUCCCUCAGGAGCGUCCUGCCGGCCCUGCCGUUGCCGCGAGCAGGGCUUCCCGCCAAGCGAGCCGAGGGGAGCAGGGCCUUGGCCCUGACGGCACAGCACAGCAGACUUGUAGCUCCUCUACUGUCAGAGCGACGUCCAAGCCACGGCGGCUUUGGAGGAAGUGGUGCUCCCUGCCUCUCGCCGUGUGGCCUCACCGGCGGGCUGCCCCCGCUCCCCGCCCGCCUGUGUCUCGGGGCGCGGCGUGCCCUCCGCGUCCUGUCCCAUCCAUCACCACCCGCGUCUCUGCGCACCAUCCUUCAGGAGCGAGAAGACUUCACACUUAGGCCGUUGGCUCUGCACACGGCCCCCCAGCAGAGCUCCUGUCCCGUGCACGCCCAGGUCCAGGGUGCAGGGACCCCCUCCCAGCCUCUCCCCACGGUACCCAGUGGGAACUAUGACGUCCACGCUACUCUGCAAGAGGAAAGUUGUCCUGUCCUGUGUGGCUUGUGAGCGACAUGAAGAUACUGUACAUAAUCCCUGUCAUAUUUUAUGGCCUGGAAACCUAGGCAUAUUGGUAUAACCUGGAGCGACAGAAAGCCUCAUGAACCAAAUUGGAAAUACAGGACUUGUGGGACGACAAAUACAAACAUCUGACUUCAGGGGCCCGGAUGGCUGAGGCAGCUGAGGUGGUGAUCUCGCGGUUCGCGAGUUCGAGCCCCGUGUCAGACUCUCUGCCAACAGUGAGGAGCCUGCUUGAGAUUCUCUCUCUCUCUCUCUCUCUCUCUCUCUCUCUCUCUCUCUCUCUCUCUCUCUUGUGCACACUCUCACAAAACUAAAUAAACAAUUUUUUAAAAAAGAAAAAUUUAACUUCAUGAAACUGAAAUGUCUAGAUGGCCUAAAAUACCGUAAUCAAAGUCAAAGGAUACAGGUUCACACGUAUUUGGGACAAAGGCUGCUGUCCAUGAUCUGAAGGACUACCAGCAGGCUCUUUUAAAUUUUUUUUUAAUUUUUUUAAUGUUUUAUUUAUUUUUGAUACAGAGAGAGAGAGAGCAUGAGAGGGGGAGGGGCAGAGAGAGAAGGAGACACAGAACCGGAAGCAGGCUCCAGGCUCUGAGCUAGCUGUCAGCACAGAGCCUGACGCGGGGCUGGAACCCACGAACACGAGAUCUGACCUGAGCUGAAGUCGGAAGCUCAACCGACUGAGCCACCCAGGCGCCCCACCCGGUGGGAAAGUGGGCGCAAGGAGCGCCGAGGGGCGGGGCGGUGCCGAUGAGAGGGAGGCUCCAGCUGCGGCACCGGCACCGUCACCGCCAGGGCCACGCCUUCCCAGCCACUGUGGCCCCCGGUGCUGCAACGUGUUGGAAAAUAGAAUCUAAGUUAAAAAUAGGACCUUCUUCGAGCUCUUGGUAACCCGUGCUUCAAUGCACGCAGCCCGACUGGCGGCAUCCGCGCGACUGUGGGCGCCGCCCCAGAGGGACGUGGACCGAACAUGAGCACCUCAGUCCUCCCCAGGAAGGGACUGCGUGUGGCCCUGUCCCCAGGCGGGUAGGGAGCUGGGCCUGCAGGGCGCGGGGACGCCUGCGCCUCCGUCCGUCCCUGCUUGUGGGCCUUGCUCUCAGCAGAAGACUGGAGGCUGGGCCGUCUUCCCCCUCGGUGUUGGGCGCUGAUAGCAAACUGUGGCCCCCGGGGGCUUCUUCCAAAUCACACACUUUUAGUAAAAACAAUAAAGUUGUAUUACUGACUUCAGAGAACACCUGCU